rnacentral:rRNA from 1 species
AUGGCCGAAUGCUUCACUAGGGUGCUCAAAGAUGCAUGUGGAUUACCCGUGAUGGCAAUAGUUCAAUACACAUUUGACAAGAUAAAUGCGUACUUUGUAAAGUACUAGAUGGAAACGGAUGCACACAUCGUGGGUGAGAACCCGCGCAAGUAAAAGUACAAGUUCCCACCCAAGGUUGAUGAAUGGUUGGUAUUUCAAUCACGGAAGGCGGACUCAGAAGAAGCUAUACUAUAUGACAGCGAAGAGUGGAAGUACGAAGUGAAAGAGCCAGGAGGAACCACAAACGAUGGCCGCCAACAUGGAGGUCGGGCUUUCAAGGUGUCGUUAACACAAUGUGAUUGCUCUUGCAGGAGGCCAUUGCUGCUUCAUCUCCCAUGCUCACACUUGUAUACUGCUGGUCGCGUUAGGAAUGUGGACAUCAAUCACCAACGCACCGUGAGGGAGUCGGAGUUCUCAAUCAUGACGGUCAAGAAAACAUGGGCUGCCUGCUUUCACCCAUAUGUUGACUCGUUUUCCAGCCCUAGCUUGCUCCACACUAAGCGCUGUUGGAAAUAUGCCCUAGAGGCAAUAAUAAAAUGGUUAUUAUUAUAUUUCCUUGGUCAUGAUAAUUGUCUAUUGUUCAUGCUAUAA